rnacentral:siRNA from 1 species
UGGUGGUCUCUCUUAAGGUCC